UUACGGCUAUAUUAGCUUGAAACACCAGUUCUCGUCCGAAUACCGAAAUUAAAUAACGUUGAGCCUGAUUACUACUUAAAUAGGUGACCGCUGGGGAAUAUCAGAUGC